rnacentral:lncRNA from 1 species
CAAGUUGGAGAAAAAAGCUUAAUGGGUUCCACAAAUUUAUGCCCAUCCAAUUUAGUUUGAGUUGAGAAAUGAGAUUUUUAUUUAUUUGUCUUCGUUAAUUUGAGUUACUUUUGAUUCCGAUGACUCCAUCAACAAUUAACAGGUACAAUGCUGUUCCCAAUUUCUCCGCUUCUAAAAGCCCUCUGUACCAUUGAUUAAAUCGAUAAUUUGACCUUCGAAGGCAAUGCUAGUUUUCUAAUGCUUGGGCACAGCCCCUUUAUGAUCUUAGGGAUUUCAAAAUUAGAAGUUGCCAGGAGUAAAUUGAUUUUGAGAAUUCUGAGAUGCCUUGAUGUUGAAUAUCUAGGUGAAAAGGAUCCAUACAUCUGACCUUUCGGGGUGGCCCAGUGGUUUGGGCUUGGCACUUCCAUGUUGGAGGUCUCAAGUUCGAAACCCCUUGCCAGCGAAAGCAAGGGGUUUGUCUCUGGGUCGAGCUCGUCGCACCAGCCUUGCCUAGUGCGGGUUAUCUCUCUUAUGUGGUUUGCGAGCUAUUGCAUAAGAGCGAGAGUUUUACCCUGUGCGCACCCACGGGUUACCUCUCCUAUGUGGUUUGCGAGCUAUUGCAUAGGAGCGAGAGUUUUACCCUGUGCGCACCUGCGGGUUUCCCUUGUCAUCAAAAAAAAAAAAGGAUCCAUACAUCUGUAGUUGAAUGCAUAUCAGGCUAUCAGCAUUCUGCUUUUGAUUAAAAUUGAAGCAGAAAAGUAUGUGAAAAACAACAAAGUAGAUGACUUAGUAUGACUGUGACUGAGGUCUGGUGUUGCUGCCACAAUCUAUUCUGGUUCAUAAUUUCGCGAUCAAAUAAUACUUUUCCAUCUCUCUAUUUUAUUGCUCAAACUAUAUUUGGGAGAUGAAAAGAGGUUUAGUUGGUUUUGUAUCUUAUAUGAGCUUUAUUUGUAUGCUGAGUAUAAACUAGGCAUUGAUCCUUGCAAACUUCAUCUUGUCCCUUUGAUAUGUAGUAUAGGGUAUAAAUAGUGGUGUUGAUUGACAAAAAAUGUAUUAGGUAAAAAGAUGUGGUACAUAACUGAUUAUAGAUUGUCUGGUGAACUGACUUUUAGGUUCCUUAAUUUCAUUCAACAUAUAUACAUCCAAAUGACAAAAAUAUGUUGCAUGAAAAUAUUCAAGUGGCGAGGAUAUGCAAUAGUUAACAUUGUUUAGUGUUAAUUAAGCAGACAUGCAAGCUCCAUUAGGUAUCUAAUUCUGUAUGAUGUGAUCAAGGACAUCCUAUCUUUCUAAUGGUAAUUUCUUACUUAAGUUGAAAAUAUUAUCCUGUUGCACUGUGCCUCAGUCCGUAACCAUGUAUACUAAUGAAUUCUUCUUCAAGUUAGCUGGUCUUAAGUAUAACCCAAGAACACCACGUCUAUGCACAUUGAGCUUCUAAUUUAAUCUAGUUAGCCAUAGGUUACAUAGCCAGUAAUGGAGUAGUUCUCUAAAUUUGUUCGGUCUCUUCAAAGUAAAACUCCUGAACUCUGCUUUAUUGGACUGAGGAAGCAGACAAGUUUAACCUUGUAUAAAUAUUUUACCUCGAGGCUAUUUUGGAAAUCCUCUCAGUAAUUUAAUUAUUUUUUUUUGGAGCAUUUUACAGCUUCAUAUUUCUAUUGUCCCUAUCUUUGGACACUAGGGUUUUCAAACAUUUAUCUGUACUCUAACUUCAGUAAAGUGAUUGGAUAUAGAAUAUGAUCAGCUCUUUAUGAGAAAUUUCACCUGUUCUGUUAAGAGAAACAGUGUGGAACUUUUUCUUCUUCAAUUUUGGUUUUAGCUUCCUAGCUUUUCUUUAAUGUGGUUUAGUGUUUUAUAUUUUCUCUUUUGAGCUGCUUGUAACUUUGGUAUUAGAGCAAGCACCAAAUUCCUGGAGUUUGUCUCUAAUCGUCUUGCACAAAAGUGCACUUGCUAAGAGCAGAAGCUUGGGAAUUUAGUGGAUUUGGCUCAGAAGGGAAGCUUUAUUACUAGAGGUCCUAGACUUAUCAUCAUAUGUGAUGGUGCUGCACUUGCUAAGAGCAGAAACUUGGGAAUUUAGUGGAUCUGUCUCAGAAUGGAAUCUCUAUUAUUAGAAGUCUGAGAUUUGUCAGCAUAUGUGGUGCCAUGUGAAUAUAUCCAAUGCAAAUUCUGGUGGAUAUUUUAACAUGAAAAAUUCUCAAAAUCUUGUGACAGUUGUCUUGUAAUGCACAUCCAAGUCAACUACAUAAAAAAUACGAAAAAGGAAUCUGGGACAUUUAAGUUGGGCUUCUCCUACUUGGAUGAUUUAGGUGCGCAUCGUAUUGUGCUCGGGUGUUGCAGUUUUCGUAACUGAGGUAUGUCUUUCAUCUAUUUGUCACCUGCAGAGUAUUUCUUCCAGUUUAUUCUUGCACUUCUUUCAUAUUUCCUUUCUACUGAAUUCUGAUCAAUUCUUCAAGGACUAUUAUUUUACUCUCCUGAUCUGAUAUUCCUAUGUAUUUGCCAUUCGUCUGUUAAGUCUUGUUAGAAGUCCUGUUGGUAACUCAUAUCUGAGUUAUAUCUACCUUAUUUGAAUAUCUGUAUUUGUUUGAAAUACAAUGAUUGUCCACAAGCCAUUUCUAUUCAUCAUAUCUAUAUUUUCUGCAAAUAAUUCUGCUACUGCAAGUUUGGAACACAAAGAAAGACCGGUAAGGCGGAGGUCUUCUGCACUCUUUCGCAGGAACCAUCAUUAGUACGACCAAAUUCAACAAAAGCUUAUCUUUUUGGGUGGGGGUUGUUCUUUUGAUUUCUUUUAUAAUCCGGAAUGUUAUAGUCCAUAAGAUAAGGACUAGCUUGUAGCAAAGCCUUGUUCCUUCACACUCUCAUUUUAAUUGUGAUACCUGAAAACUGUUCAGAUUUUGGAGAAGCUGGAGAAAGUAAUAAGCAAAAACUGAUUACGGACAGUGAUCCAUGAUGAAAAGAGCUAUGGCUAGAAGGUGAAAAUUGCUUUUACCAAAAAUUGAUUUGAAACAUCAUGCAUUUUCUUAGUCUAUGUUGCUACAUUGGAUGUCACAAAGUUAAACUGAAAAACCCAAGAUCACGAUUUUGUUAAACUGAAACAUCAUGUAUUUUCUUUGUCCAAUUUUUUGAUGUAAGCAAAAAAAGAAAAAAAUGAGAUGUUGGAAUUUGGAAAGUUGAUCACAGGUUUCACUACUAAAAGUUUCAUUACUUAUCUUUACAUCUAUUCUCUUUUUGAAUUUGGUAACAUAUUAUAUUCAUCAGCACCCUAAUAAAGACCUGGUAUAUCAUAUCUACAGAUACAGCCUCAAACAAAACUUACAAAGAGGCCAUAGAGUCUAGUAAUGAUUCAACAUCAUCAACUAACUGUUCUUUACGCCAAAAAUAAAGAAGAGAAAUGCAGGAGCUCUUGAUCUUCUGGAUUGAACUGCAC